rnacentral:rRNA from 1 species
UGUGAAGAUGCAGUGUACCCGCGGCAAGACGGAAAGACCCCGUGAACCUUUACUAUAGCUUGACACUGAACAUUGAGCCUUGAUGUGUAGGAUAGGUGGGAGGCUUUGAAGCGUGGACGCCAGUCUGCGUGGAGCCGACCUUGAAAUACCACCCUUUAAUGUUUGAUGUUCUAACGUGGAUCCGUAAUCCGGGUUGCGGACAGUGUCUGGUGGGUAGUUUGACUGGGGCGGUCUCCUCCUAAAGAGUAACGGAGGAGCACGAAGGUUGGCUAAUCCUGGUCGGACAUCAGGAGGUUAGUGCAAUGGCAUAAGCCAGCUUGACUGCGAGCGUGACGGCGCGAGCAGGUGCGAAAGCAGGUCAUAGUGAUCCGGUGGUUCUGAAUGGAAGGGCCAUCGCUCAACGGAUAAAAGGUACUCCGGGGAUAACAGGCUGAUACCGCCCAAGAGUUCAUAUCGACGGCGGUGUUUGGCACCUCGAUGUCGGCUCAUCACAUCCUGGGGCUGAAGUAGGUCCCAAGGGUAUGGCUGUUCGCCAUUUAAAGUGGUACGCGAGCUGGGUUUAGAACGUCGUGAGACAGUUCGGUCCCUAUCUGCCGUGGGCGCUGGAGAACUGAGGGGGGCUGCUCCUAGUACGAGAGGACCGGAGUGGACGCAUCACUGGUGUUCGGGUUGUCAUGCCAAUGGCACUGCCCGGUAGCUAAAUGCGGAAGAGAUAAGUGCUGAAAGCAUCUAAGCACGAAACUUGCCCCGAGAUGAGUUC